rnacentral:lncRNA from 1 species
GUUUAUCUAGUGCCUAGAACAAUAGCUGGCUUAAAGAGGUCAAAUGGUAUUAUCAUUAUGACCCUGGAAAUGAAGGCUUGGAUUGUAUUUAAGUUGGAUCCAUUCCAGUGAUGACAGCUGUGCUAACGUCACCUCUGGUGGCUUUGUCCCCAAGAUUCGAGAUUACGGUGAGCCCUUUCAGGAAGCAAUGUGGUUGGACCUGGUUAAGGAAAGGCUGAUUACGGAAAUGUACACGGUGGCAUGGUUUGUGCGAGACAUGCGCCUGAUGUUUCGCAACCAUAAAACAUUUUACAAGGCUUCUGACUUUGGCCAGGUAGGACUUGACUUAGAGGCAGAAUUUGAAAAAGAUCUCAAAGACGUGCUCGGUUUUCAUGAAGCCAAUGACGGCGGUUUCUGGACUCUUCC